CAAAGGAAACAGUUGCGCAAGCGCACUAAAAUCACCCCAACGCGACCACCAGAGCCGCGCAGGCGCAGAACGGCGUGCGGGAGGUUGGGGCUCACGCAUGCGCAAAAGGGAAAUGCCGGCCCUCCCCUCCCCACCCCAAGCAGCUCCGCUUCUACCGAGCCACAGUUACUUGCCCUUUCAAAUUGCUCUGACUGACCUCUCUUGCGUUUGAACGGCGUCGAAUCGCCCCGGCGCUGGCGAAGACGUGUUCUGUUUCAUCCGAACACUCCGGUUCUCUCCCUCCCCAAGUAGUCAAAGGCUGCAUGAGGAGUGUCGAUCACUCCCGGCUCGUCUCAUCACGGCCCAGGGCCUAGAGGAGCGCCGAGUGAUCGAUGCCGUGGCUCCGCCCCGCGCCGUUUACAAGGCGGGAGGGUGGUGGCCGCUAGAAAGUUACCCUCUGCCCAGAGACCUUUACUGCUGACCUGUAUGCAUGUGCACCCCACAUUUUCCAGUCCUCUUGCGGUGUUUGGGCAAUGGGCUCAGUUUGGAAGAUUUAAAAGCCAGUGAGUGACCCUCUGAUCUCUCAUCUCCCAUUUGAUGACCAAGGAGGCUCCGUGUUCUAAGACAGCUCUACCUGAGUCCCAGAGGGACUGAGUGAAGCAGAGUCCUCUGCUAGCCCACAUUGGAUAUGUAACGCUCAUCAGAAAUCUUUCCUCCCAUUUCCCUCAGGACCUUGCUCCAAAUGCAGAGGUUUUCAGAUCCCAGUGUGCAUAAGAUUUACCAGGAACUGGCUGAAAAUACAGACUUCUGGGUCCUGUCCUCCAGAUUCGGAAGUGAGCCCAGGACUCUGCAUUUUAAACAGGCACUUUAGGAGGUCUUACCACUCUAGGGUGAGGAAAGACAACCUCAAGGGACAGUAGGAAAAAACGAGCCUGUGCCUCCAUGCUUAAGUGGAAUUGGUCUGCGUGAGCUCCCCCAGGUCCUCCUAGGGUGGAACUUCUUGAAAAGCCGGAGGGGACCCCAGGUCACCUCUUACUGUGCCAGCUCUGGAACCAGAACUUUUAAGGGGGAGAAUUGAAAGAGAAAGGGGGAGAAAGUGUGCUUUUGUGUGUGUGUCUGGGGGUUGCAA